AUACAGAGGGUGCUAGCGUUGUCCGGAUUUAUUGGGCGUAAAGCGUUUGUAGGCGGCUAAGCAAGUCUGAAGUGAAAUAAUGGAGCUUAACUCCAUCCCCGCUUUGGAAACUGUUUGGCUAGAGAGUGUUAGGGGCAAGUGGAAUUUCCAGUGUAGCGGUGAAAUGCGUAGAUAUUGGAAAGAACACCAGAGGCGAAGGCGGCUUGCUGGGGCACUUCUGACGCUGAGAAACGAAAGCUAGGGGAGCGAAUGGGAUUAGAUACCCCAGUAGUCC
rnacentral:rRNA from 1 species